CGGAGCGUAGCGCAGCCCGGUUGGCGGACCAGUCCGGGGGACUGGGGGUCGCAGGUUCAAAUCCUGCCGCUCCGA
rnacentral:tRNA from 1 species